CAUGCAAGUCGAACGAGAAUCUACUGAAAGAGUUUUCGGACAAUGGAAGUAGAGGAAAGUGGCGGACGGGUGAGUAACGCGUGAGGAACCUGCCUUGAAGAGGGGGACAACAGUUGGAAACGACUGCUAAUACCGCAUGAAGCAUAGGGGUCGCAUGAUUCUUAUGCCAAAGAUUUAUCGCUUCAAGAUGGCCUCGCGUCUGAUUAGCUAGUUGGCGGGGUAACGGCCCACCAAGGCGACGAUCAGUAGCCGGACUGAGAGGUUGAACGGCCACAUUGGGACUGAGAUACGGCCCAGACUCCUACGGGAGGCAGCAGUGGGGAAUAUUGGGCAAUGGGCGCAAGCCUGACCCAGCAACGCCGCGUGAAGGAAGAAGGCUUUCGGGUUGUAAACUUCUUUUAAGAGGGAAGAGCAG
rnacentral:rRNA from 1 species